rnacentral:rRNA from 1 species
GAUGAACGCUGGCGGCGUGCCUAAUACAUGCAAGUCGAGCGAACAGACGAGGAGCUUGCUCCUCUGACGUUAGCGGCGGACGGGUGAGUAACACGUGGAUAACCUACCUAUAAGACUGGGAUAACUUCGGGAAACCGGAGCUAAUACCGGAUAAUAUAUUGAACCGCAUGGUUCAAUAGUGAAAGACGGUUUUGCUGUCCCUUAUAGAUGGAUCCGCGCCGCAUUAGCUAGUUGGUAAGGUAACGGCUUACCAAGGCAACGAUGCGUAGCCGACCUGAGAGGGUGAUCGGCCACACUGGAACUGAGACACGGUCCAGACUCCUACGGGAGGCAGCAGUAGGGAAUCUUCCGCAAAGGGCGAAAGCCUGACGGAGCAACGCCGCGUGAGUGAUGAAGGUCUUCGGAUCGUAAAACUCUGUUAUUAGGGAAGAACAAAUGUGUAAGUAACUAUGCACGUCUUGACGGUACCUAAUCAGAAAGCCACGGCUAACUACGUG